GGCUGGUGUCACCUUUAGAGGAAGAGAAUGUGGGUGACAGGGCCACCAGGAGAGAGGUACCUGAAGCGCUCCAGGUCGCUGCUUGGGCUCAGGACACCGAAGACUUUGUGUCCUGUGUCCAGGGUCCACAGUGCAUUGAGCUGAGGACCCACAACAAAAUACGGGUGGGAGUGACACCAUGACGGAGGAAAAGCAACCCAGCUGAGAAAUGUGGUGAGCCCCCCAGGGCUCAGGGCAGACCAGAUGACCAGCCCUCCACUUGGUCCUGGCAGCAUGCCAGCCUGAACGGGGCUGGGAGACAAAGAAGGUGAAGUCACUCCACCGUGACCCUUCCCCAUGCCCACCUCCACCUCAGCAGCUGCUUCCUGGAGAACCUGGCCUGCUGAAGAGGUACAUCCAGGUGACAAAGAAAUGGACACACACAUGGCCAUGUGAGUACCCCUUGCUCAGUCUUGAAUCCUGUGCCCAGCAUGUAUUAGGUGCUCAAUAAGUCGCCAGAGAAUGGCUGAAUGGCUGAAUCACCAAGAUGCCCGAAGACUUGGUGGGAGGCCAGUGACCAGAUAUGUUGACCUAGCUAGACGUCCCUAAACUGGGGUUCCCAAGGCACCCUUGAAGGCAACAGUGGAGGUGAAAGAGUUCUUUCCGUGGAAUCCCAAUCUCGUGGAAUACGUGCUUUUAGAUGAGAUAAGGCCAUUCGGGUUAACUAAAAGGCCCAACCUUUUGUUUUGGCAGGAAUGAUAUCAGAGCAGUGUGGUAACAUGGGGUUAUCUUGGGGUGAGCAAUAGUUCCC
rnacentral:lncRNA from 12 species